AAACAAUCAUUUUUCUAAUUGAUAAGAUCUUAUUUGCCCUAUAAUUAUUUUCUUUCCUUUUUUUUGCCCUACUGAUCCUUACUAUGAACAGGAAAAGUUCAUGUAAACAAUUAAUUAAGUGAAAGAUGUUUCCAUUUUCUUACAUAUUUUGUUUGUUGGGAAGAAUAAGCUGAGAUACAUGUAGGCAAUUUGCUUUUCUAAACCCUAAUUAAUCAAUUAAAUUAAUUCCCUAUUUUAGUGAUGAGGCAAACCCUAAUUUUUUUUCUUCUUUAAAGUAGUUAAAUUAUAACAUAAAUUCUACGAGUUAAAGGAGCUUUCAAUCUGUAGUUUACUAUUACCACCUUUCCACAUGCAAUAUUGAUUACGUUAUACCCUAUUAAUCAUUUUCAUUAUUGAGG
rnacentral:misc_RNA from 1 species